AUGCUACGAAAUGAAACGCGCGACCCCGCCACCGCUCCACCAAUGCCGCCGCCGCCGCCGCACCCGUCGCGCCUCGGCUUCCACCCGCUGGAGCCGGCGCUCUCCGCCGCGGCCGACGCGCUGCACCGCUCCUGCCCGAGCUCCCCGCGCCGCGCCGUCCUCCGCCGCGCGCGCGCGCUGCACGCGCUCCUCGUGGUCUCCUCGACGCCCUCCGCGCCCACACCCGGCACCUUCAUCGUCAACCAGCUCCUCGCGCUCUACGCCCGCCUCUCCGCGCUCCCCGACGCCGUCGCGCUCCUCCGCUCCGCGCCGCGCCCCAACGUCGUCUCCUUCAACACCGUCCUCUCGGCCCUCUCCCGCGGAGCCCCGCGCCACGCGCCGCAGGCCUUCCGGCUCUUCGGCCAGCUAUGCGCGUCCGGGCUCCGCCCCACCGCGCCCAGCCUCUGCGCCGUCCUUCGCGCCGCUGGCGCGCUGCGCGACGGCCGCGCGGGCGCCCUGGCGCACGCGCAGGCCGCGGCGCUCGGGUUCCUCGCCAGCGACAUCGUGCCCACCGCCCUGCUGCAGAUGUACUCAGAGUGCGGGGCGCCGCGGGACGCCAACCGGGUGUUCGACGAAAUGGCGACGCGGGACGUGGUCGCCUGGAACUGCGCGAUGCACUGCAGCGUGCGGUACGGCUACCUCGGGCGUGCUUUGGGGCAGUUCUGCAGCAUGGUGAGGGGUGGGCUGGCACCCACCGAGAGCACUCUCUCGUCGGUGCUCAGUGGGUGUGCACGCGCUGGGGAUAGCCGUGGGGGGCGCGUGCUGCACGGCUGGGUGGUGAAGUCGGAGGGGCUUCAUCCUGACACGCCGCUGCAGAAUGCGCUGCUCGGCAUGUACUCUGGCUGCGGUGAUCUGGACACUGCGUUGCAUGUGUUUGAAAGGAUUGAGACUCCCGAUUUGGUGUCAUGGAAUACUCUGAUUGCUGGGUUCUCUGGUACUGGGGAUGGAUGGAGUGCCAUGGAUGCUUUUGUACGGCUCAAGGAUGCGCGGUUUGGCGAACCGGUUGUCCCUGAUGAGUAUACAUUUGCAGCUGUGGUGUCUGCUGCUGCUGCUUUACCUGCAAUGCAUAGUGGAAUGCCACUUCAUGCUGAAGUGGUCAAAGCUGGGUUGGAGACCAGUGUCUUUGUAGGUAAUACAUUGAUCAAUAUGUAUUUUACAAACGGGGAGUCAGGCUCAGCACGAAUUUUGUUCGAUUCCCUUCCCGAGAAAGAUGUAAUUAUGUGGACCGAGAUGGUUGCAGGCCAUUCUUCGUCAGGCGAAGCUGAAUUAGCCUUGAAGUAUUUCAUUAGCAUGCUUCAGGAAGGGUACAAGGUCGACAGCUUCUCUCUCAGCAGUGCUUUGAACUCCACAGCAGAGUUUGCAGGUCUUAAGCAAGGAGAGAUGCUCCAUGCUCAAGUGGUAAAAAGUGGUUAUGAAGGGAAUAUCUGUGCCUCCGGAAGCCUGCUUGAUAUGUAUGCUAAAAAUGGUGCUCUCCAAGGUGCCCAUUUGGUGUUCUACACCAUACCAAAGCGAGAUUUAAAGUGUUGGAAUUCCAUGAUAGGGGGAUAUGGCAAUUACGGCAAUUCAGAAAUGGCAUUUAAGUUAUUUGGUGAGAUGAUUCGUGAUGAGCUGCAACCUGACCAUGUAACUUACAUCUCCCUCCUUUCAGCAUGCAGCCACUGUGGACUAGUUGAGAAAGGGAAGUUCUACUGGUUUUGUAUGAUGACGGAUGGUAUUAUGCCAGGAUUCAAGCACUAUACUAGCAUGGUGAGUUUGUUGGGUAGGGCAGGUUUAUUGGAGGAAGCAGUUGAUUUACUGCAGAAAUCCCCAUUUGCCAAGAAAUGUCCUGAACUAUGGAGAAUUCUGCUAAGUUCCUGCGUAGCAUUAAAUGAUUUGUCUGUUGGUAUUCAUGCCGCUGAACAGGCACUCGCGCAAGACCCAGAUGAUAUGUCGACACAUGUAUUGCUUUCAAACCUUUAUGCUGCUGCAGGCAAAUGGGACGUUGUAGCUGAAAUUAGGAAAAAGAUCAGAGGAAUGAUGGUUGAGAAGGAACCUGGGCUGAGCUGGAUCGAGAUAAAAAGUACGAUUCAUGUGUUCUCAGCAGAUGAUGAAUGCCACUCUCAGAUCGAUGACUGUCGUGGCGAGUUGCUUCGACUUAAGGGGAACAUGGAAUUGUUGUAUAGUUCUGAAAAUGAAUUGCUUUCAAGUGGCUAA
rnacentral:rRNA from 1 species